UUGCACAAUGAUUCAGUCAGUGGUCGUGGGCUCGGUUCUCCUGGGCCCAGUUCAAUACUGCGCAGAAUGCAGAACUAUCUAAAAUGGUUAUCUGAAAUUGGCGUAAAGGUUGCUUUUCGCUGCGUAGGAGUUAUCCUUUUUUCAAGAUUAUCGAUUUGUUUGUAAUUCAGAGUUUUGCAUGUUUUUGUCGUUCUGAAACAGCCGGAAAACUAUUAAUCAAGUGUUUCAGGAAUGAUGAACUUGUUCGUUCGAGCCAUUACUAACAAAAUAUUUUUCUGCAGGAUAUUGGUGGCCAGUACUGCACAAAUCGUUUGAGUAACGUUGAACUGGGAUUAACUGGGUUUAUAAUGCUAAAGAAUCAAGUCAUGUUUAUCAAACACCAAUAGGUAGGUUCGCACAAACUAGUACACCAAGGGGUUUUGACAGGUGAGUUUUGACGGGAAGGGUUGUAAACAACUUGUGGGAAGCGUAAUUGUUUUUUUUUUUUUUAAGCUGAUAAAGUUGUGUAAACAAAGCAGCCAUGCUUUUAAAGUUUCUGUUUUUCUGGAGAAGUCAGCACCGGUUGGGGUACAGCAAACGUUGAAUUUUUUCUAACACUACAUACUUGUUUAUAACUGCACAUACUCUUUUUAUCAUUCCAGAUGAUGAUACAGCAAAAUAUAAGAAGCCUCUUGCAGUAAACCGUAUAUUCGCAUUAUGACUUCUGACAGAAGAAUCAGCCCAAAUCAUUCUGUUUUAUAAAAUUAGGCCUUCCGUAUACUUUCACUGUGGUCAAUAAAGAAAUACCCCAAAUCCUUUGAUCUAAAUUAAAGAUCUUCUCAAGUAAUGUUAGCAGAUGUAAAAUACAAAAAUCUAGACAAUCACUAAUUAGCAGUGAAGAGUUUUUGUUUCCUGUAUUUUUUUUCACUGUCAGCUAAUGAUUGUCCAUAUUUUUAUAUUCUAGAUGCAGUAGUCAGUUGCCACCUGAGUAUAGUAUAAGACUGUAGCAUUGCUUUCUGCAAAAAUGCAAGGAUAUUCCACUUUUUAAACAUGCCAAUCCAUUUAUUUUUACAAGCACUUUCUUUGCAAGUUCUGAAUUCUAUAUUUCUAAAAUCAAACGUGUGUGCAAUUAUGUGUGUGUUUCUAGGCUAUAAAGAGCAAACUUUGAAAUUCAAGUAAUGUAGUCUCCCUACUUAGGUAAUUUAAAUGCUAUUAUGUGGCAGUAAAUUAACUCAUUUAAUCGCUUAGUCAAAUCAAUGUGAAAAAAUAAGGUUAUAUACUGCAGAUUGGGACUUUAAGUUGGAAGGCUUUUAUUUAAGACCUGUUUUGUCAGCAAACUGAAGUACAUAGAGGAGAAAUAAUUUGAGCUACUAUAUAACAGGUUUCAACAUGUUCAUCUUAUGGUAAUCAGAAUUAAUUAUAAAUGCCCAUGAGUAAGAACUUUCUUGUGAAAUAUAGAAAAUGGUUUGCCUGAUGCAUGUUGAUAUAGUUAUGCUUGGUUUGAUAUGGAGACAGCCAUAUCAUUUAUUUUUAUAGUUGUAGGUUUGUAAUCAUUUUACUUAAUGGCACUGCAUACAUCAGAACUAGGUAGAAAAAGUGAUUUUCCUUUUUGCCUCCCUGAUCCAGUCAUGGCAAGCAGAAGCAACUGAAAACAAGUCUGCUUCAGUUGCAGCAUCAGUGUUGUUUCUGUUUUUUGUCUGUGUAUUUUUGCAGUUUGCUUUUGAGGGUGAAAUAGGAAUGCUAGUGCCAAUAGAAGACAAUAUUUGUAGCUCAUGGUUAAACUGUGGGGUCUUUAGUGCUCUUGGUUAUUUUUUUGCAGGUGUUUCUUUAGGUAAUGAGAGCUCAGGGCGCCAAAUACUCCCUCAGGAAUGCCAGUGCAAUGUAGAAGGCUCGACCUUUCUCUGUCUUACACAUAGUAUCUUUGACUCUGAUUGGGCUACCUCGUUUUUUUUUAAUAUUAAAAUAAAAAUGGGGUGGGGAAAUGGAACAUGUUAGUAUCAGGUGGCCAAUGAACACAAAGGUCACUGCGAUGCCAACCAACAAAAUUUGUUGGUUCACUGGCCAAGUGUGGUCUGUUGUCUUGAUUAGUAUAGGUUUGAAGAAUAAGUACUGUAAUUAUGAUUAGUGCCCAAACGUGACUUAGUGUGCAUUAUCAAUAUUACCGAUCACCUCAGACAAAAGUAUUUCCUCCAUGUAAUCCUUAGUAUAUCUGUCCUGCUAACCUAAAAAAAACUCCAGUUAUUAAAAAUCUCUUUAUCUCAUUAAAUGGAACUUAAUCCAUGCUGUAGAGGUACUCCUAGAUUUACAACCAUUCAUUUAAUGACUAUUCAAAGUUACAAUGGCACAGAAAAAAGUGACAUGGCCACUUUUCACACUUAUGACUGCUGCAGCGUCCCCACAGACAUGUGAUCAAACUUUGUGUGCUUGGCAACUAUCGUGUAUUUACAAUAAUGGCAGGAUCCUGGGAUCCUGGGAUUGUAAUUUGCAACCUUGCUAGGGAGCUUCUGACAAGUAAAGUCAGUGGGGGAAGCCAUAAUUGCUUAAUGACCACAUGUUUCAUUUAACAACUGUAGUGAUUUGCUUAAUCAUGGCAAAAAUGAUUAUUAAAAGGAUUAUUACUCCCUUGAGUACCUUGCUUAGCAAUGGAAUUUUUGGGCUCAAUUGUAGUCACAAGUUGAGGACUACCUAUACUUUAAUUAAUUUAAUUUAAUUAAUUAAAUUUAUGUGCCGCUCCUCUCCGAAGACUCAGGGCGGCUCACAAUACAUUUUUAAAAAUCAUUAUAAAAAGACAUUGAAAAAUUAAAAACAUUAAAAACUCAUUCACACCAUUCAUGGCCGGAUCUCGCCAGAUCACAAGAGCGAGAUCAACAGCCCCAGGCCUGCCGGAAAAGCCAGGUCUUCACCGCUUUUCAGAAGGCCAAUAGGGUGUGGAUGGUCCGGACCUCAGGAGGUAACUGGUUCCAGAGAGCUGGGGCAGCCACAGAGAAGCCCCCCCCCCCCUCGCGGGCCUGCCAGCCGACAUUGGGCCCGGAGGAGACCAACUCUGUGGGAUCUUACUGGUUGCUAUGCGGCAGAAGGCAGUCUCGAAGAUAACCUGGUCCUGAGACAUGUAGGGCUUUAAAGGUAAUAACCAAUACCUUGAAUUGUGACCGAAGACCAAUAGGGAGCCAGUGCAGCUUGUGGAAACCCUUAAAGUGGCCUUAAAUAGAGAAUUAGCCAUGUUCACAGAUUCUUUGAAUUGGAAAAGCCUGAACCUUAUUGCAUCAAACAAUAAAAGAACUAUUGAAUUCAAGAGUAAUCCCAGGAUGUAUAAUUUGUAGCAAUCACAAAUCCUAAAAUAAUUUUUAACUAAUUUACUAAAAACUUCAGUGGUAAUUGAUUGGGAGUGAUUGAUAUUGAGUGCUAUGAUAUUUGUGAUACGAUUUAUUUUAAGAUAGAUUUUAUACUGUUUUCCUUACCAUUUAAUAAACCAUAGUAUUUAUCUAGUUAACUGCUCUUUAUUCCUGUAUUCUUUUGUGAUUCUUUGGGUUAUUGUGUUGUCUGAUAAGAUAUUUUCUUAUCAGAUUCCUCAAUGCUUUCAACAGCACCAGAAUUCUAAUAUACUUGAAAAGUUCUUAAAAAUUCAGGGAGAUACACAGACAUGUAUCUGUCCUGACAGUAGCCCACGUUGAACUGUAUAGCACAGUAAAACAUCAGGAGCUGAUCACAAGAAAUGUUUUAUGAUGUUUUGUGUUGUCAUAAAAUGCUUUAUGAUCAUUUUUAUCUAAUAAAAUUUUUAUAUUUGCCAAACGCAAUACCACAGGAGUCAGGAGUCCUGGAUUUUGGAUGCAUUCUGUAUGUUAUCUCAUUUGUAGUACCUUGAUUAAAAAUGUUUUACCCUAUGAUGCACAAAUUUGCCCAAUUAAACUAAGUUUAAAUAGACCCAAGUAGUCAUUUUUGGGGGAGUAAGGGGGAUUGUACAGCUGUGGUUUAAAUGACCUUGGAUAACUAAUAUAUAGCUUGUAUGCUAGGAUCUUUCUGUUUUAAACUAACCUGAGUUAUUCCAACCAUGGUUUAUCAUGAAUUGAAUACCCACUCUCUCCUUUGAAUCUCUAGUAUAUAUGAGUAUAAGAAGUAGGGAAAGUAGUUUGGUCAGAGAGAAAGAUAGCUGUUUAAUGUAAGUUUAUGAGUGUACAUAGGAUUAGGGUUAUAUUAUUAAUUAUAUAUAUAUGUAUGUAUGUACUGUAUGUAUGUAUGUAUUAUUGUUUUAGUCAGGGUUUUUCCUACGUAAAUAUGUUUAUAUAGCCAUAGUUCAGUGAAAUCCCAAUUCACUAUUUUCUAGGCUUUAUCAGACAUUAACCAGCAUUUUGCUGUCUGCUGUAAGACUUAAGGGAGACUAAAAUAGAUCUAUUUUUGAUUUAUUUGUCUUCAUCAGUUAGCCACACACCCUCAUCAUAUGACUCCUCCCUGUAACGGUCAAAUAUUUAUUUUGUUCUUUUUUCGUAGGUCUAUAUGUGUAUUAUGGUUUUAGCCAGGGUUUUUCCUACGUAAAUCAAGAUGUUUAUAUAGCCAUAGUUCUAUAUAGAACUAUAUAACCUGAAAGAAGACACUAGCACAACAAUCCUACCAGCAGACAAGGGAAACGCCACGGUGGUAAUGAACACAUCUGACUACCAAACCAAAUUAACCAACCUACUCCAAGACUCCACAUACAAACCCCUAAACACAGAUCCCACCACCUACCUGGAAAAAACCACUAGAUCCAAAAUAAAAGCCUCCCCCAUCAGCAAAGAGAUCCAGCAAAGAAUCAUUCCCAGAGAGAAAUCAUCCAGAUGCCCUAAGCUCUAUAGUCUCCCCAAGAUACACAAAGAAGAAACCCCACUUAGACCCAUAGUCAGCUCCAUAGGCUCACCUCUACAAAACCUAGCCAAAUUUCUCACCAAACAACUACAGCCCUAUGCAGAAUCCAUCAACUCGCAUGUAAAAAACUCAUUCCAGUUCAUAGAGAUCAUAAAGAAACAAAACUUACAGCCCAGUGACCUACUCAUGAGCUUCGAUGUCAUAUCCCUCUUCACCCAAGUGCCAAUCAAAGAAGCCUUGACAGCUAUCCAAAACAAAUAUAACCCCCCCCCAAGCACAUCCUAGUUCUGACCAACCACUGCCUAUCCAACACAUACUUCAUCUAUAAUGGACAAAAAUACAAACAAAUAGAAGGAGCACCCAUGGGAUCACCCCUCUCACCUGUCUUUGCUAACCUCUACAUGGAACACUUUGAAACCCAAGCUCUAGAAAAAUCUGAUCACAAACCCAAACUCUGGCUCAGAUACGUAGACGACACCUUCAUAAUCUGGCCACAUGGGAAAGAAAAACUGGACAACUUCCUCACACCUCAACAGCCUACACCCCAAAAUACAGUUCACCAUAGAAACAGAAGCUAACAACCAACUUCCCAUCCUGGAUGUCUUAGUCUACAGGAAAUCCAAUGGCUCCCUAGGACACACCAUCUACCAGAAGAAAACACACAAACCGCUAUCUGCACACACUCUCACACCACCACCCAGCACAGAUCAACUCCGUAGCCAAGACACUCAUCUCCAGAACAAAACGCUUAGCUGAUGAACAACACCUAAAAACCGAACUACACACUCUCACUAACGUACUAACAUCCAACAAAUUCCAAAGAAAUAAGAUUACCAACCUAAUCCAAAAAGAAACCCCCACUAAAAUCCAAGACAGAGAACAAGAAAACGGCAAAGCCAUCAUCCCAUACAUAAAAGGCACCACAGAUAGAAUCAGCAAGAUCCUCCACAAACACAACAUCAAGAUAGCAUUCUGCACAAACCGAAAAAUAUCCACCAUCCUAAGAAACCCCAAAGACAAAAUUGAGUUAGAAAAUCAAGGAGUAUAUGAAAUCCCUUGCACCGCCUGCCCCACCACAUACAUCAGACAAACCAACAGAAGAAUAAGUGCACGCAUUGAAAAACACAAGAACUCAGUCAGAAAAGAGGAACCAACUUCUUCCCUGGUCCAACACCUCAAAGCCACAGGACAUGAUAUUGACUUUAAAAAGACCAGAACUAUCGCCAAAACUGAACACUUUAACAACAGAAUAAUCAGAGAAGCCAUCGAGAUAGAAAAAUGUCCACACAGCAUGAAUAAACGAGAUGAUACCUCCCGCCUACCAGCCAUUUGGAAACCCGCCCUUAUUGACAAACGUGUCCCUAACACAAUGACACCAGACCCACACUCACGAAAAUCACACAGGAUGUCACCACCACACAUCCACGAAAAAAGCAAACCCACACCAAUGAGGCACGACCACAAACCAGAAGCCAGACCACAGCUGCAUCAUUAGCCACUUUAAACCCCUCCAAUCCAUACAUGAAGCAAACUGACACCCACCAUGAAGUUGUGGCAACAAACACGAAGCCAAACAACAGCAACGCAGCUCACCAGCUCAAAUCCCCUUGCUAACCCGAGCACAACCAAGCCCCCACCUAAACAGAACAUACCCCCAGCCAAUCAUAACACAGCCAACCCCCCAUCCAAUCAGAGCACAGCCAAACCCCCAACCAAUCAGAACACACCUCCACCCAAUCAGAACACAGCCAAGCUCCCACCCAAUCAGUUCACACCCCCGCUGGCAGAUAAAAGGAAGAAACAGCUGCGAUCACACACAUUGCUCCUAGAAGCACGAAGCCGAAAACACCAGCCUGAAGAUGACGAAUGAGACUUUGUCGAAAUGUCGCCAAGACACCUCCAAUUUUACGCGGGAGAAAACCCGAAUAACCAAAGACCUACAUACAAACACCCGCGAAAACCUCUGAAAACAAAUAUAUAUAUAUAUAUACACACACAUACACAUACACGCACACACACACACACAUAUAUAUAUAUACAUGCACACACACAUACAUACAUAGAUACAUACUAUAUAUACCAACUAUAGGGAAGAAGUGAACUAUAUUCACCUUCCUCCCAGCUAGAAUCCACAAGGAAGCAAUAUGGAAGCUUCUUUUUUCUUACACUUUUUCUCAUUCAUACAUACCAUGUGAUUCUUCUAAUGGGAAAUAUCAGGGAUGGAAGCUGAGACCUCAUGCAUACAAAGCACGUGCUCUACAACUGAGUUGGGUUAUGUUCUUGAUGUUAGAUUUACUUAUGUCCGAUGAAUAGAAGGGUCAAACAAUGAGAAUGGGCGCCCCAGAGGUUAUUUCCAUCCACUUCUAAAGAAAGUUGCUUUCAAUGUCCUAAAUGUGUUAAAAUGUUUUUUUUUUCCCAGGCUCCUCAUGUCAUUCAUCUGCAUGACGGGGUGAAGAUGGGUGAAGCCUCUUUGCAAGACACCAUUAUCGUAGACUGCUUGACAAAUGCCUUCUACAGUUAUCACAUGAGUGUUACAGCUGAAAAUGUGGCCAAACAAUGGAAGGUUACUCGAGAAGAACAAGACCAACAUGCUGUAAUGUCUCAGAACAAGGCUGAAAAUGUCCAGAAGGGUGAAUAUUUUGAUAAAGAGAUUGUACCUGUUGUUGGACCUUCUAGAAAAGGGAUCACAGGAACAGCUUGCUAUAGGAGAAUUUGCAAGGUCUCUUCUUGUUAUUCCAAAUAUGUUAGCAGUUAAUGCUCCUCAAGAUGCUAUAGAUCUUGUUGUAAAGCUCAGAGCAUUUCACAAUGAAGCGCAAGUGAAUCCAAAUCGCAAAAAAUUGAAGUGGUAAAAAGCAUGAUGAAAAUGGGCAACGGAAACAGUCAAUUACAUUCCAGUGUAGUUUUCUGCCCCUUCAAGGAUAGGUGAAGCACACUUGGGGGAGGGAACACUGGUUGUUGGAAAAGCAUCAGUUAUAAACCAUGGUUUAGAAGUUACAUUGGGUUAAUUCACACACUAAACUGUAAACUACACCAAGCUCAUUUUAGUUUAGCCAUUACAUUACUUGGAAAUAACAAAGCUAAUUUAAGUAAUGUAUUGAACAAGCUUCGGAUUUUAUAUUUUCACAUUGAUUUUGACUCAGCAAUUAAAUCAGUUAAUCUACUGUCACAUUAAAAAAAAAAAAACAAUUACGACCCUUUCUCCAUGUUGUUUACAACCCUUCCUGUCAACGCUCACCUGUCAA